CCCUUAGACGUUCUGGGCCGCACGCGCGCUACACUGACCAGUGCAACAAGCAUCCGUCCUUGGCCGACAGGCCCGGGCAAUCUUUGAACGCUGGUCGUGAUGGGGAUAGACUUUUGCAAUUUUUGGUCUUCAACGAGGAAUUCCUAGUAAACGCAAGUCAUCAACUUGCAUUGAUUACGUCCCUGCCCUUUGUACACACCGCCCGUCGCACCUACCGAUUGAAUGGUUCGGUGAAGCCUCCGGAUUGGCGCGCACCCCGGUGCCGCCGAGAAGUUGGCUAAACCUUACCAUUUAGAGGAAGGUGAAGUCGUAACA
rnacentral:rRNA from 1 species